UUACUACUCCCUCCGUCCGGAAAAGCUUGUCUUUCAAAUGGAUGUAUCUACCACUAACUUGGUGCUAGAUACAUCCAUUUGAGGGACAAUCUUUUUCGGACGGAGGGAGUACUUA
rfam:Triticum aestivum genome assembly, contig: Triticum_aestivum_CS42_TGACv1_scaffold_559235_7AL